AUGGCUAAUGUUCUUCGUAGAAUGGACAGUGAUGUUCCUGCAGUGAGAUUCUUCCAUGGAUUAAUGCUUGAGGCAAAGAAACAUAUUGUUGUGAGGUUUGAUAAUGAUGAGAGCAAGUACAAAGUUGCUUGGGACAUCAUUGAUAAAAGGUGGGACAGCAAGCUCAAGACUCCUCUCCACUUGGCUGGCUAAUAUUUGAAUCACUAUUAUUACCGAAACAAGUCAGAGAUUGAGCAUGAUGGAUCAUUUAGAGCUGCUGUUAUUACAUACAUUUGCAAGAUGAUUGAGGAUGAAGAAACCCAAGACAUUGUAAUUGAAGAACUUAACAUGUAUCAAGAUCAGCAAGGAUCUUUCGGCCAUGAGAUUGCUAUAAGGAAAAGGAGAAACAAGAAUUUUAAUCUAGGUUAG
rnacentral:rRNA from 1 species